UACGUAGGAGGCGAGCGUUGUCCGGAUUUACUGGGCGUAAAGGGCGCGCAGGCGGCCCACCAAGUACGAUGUGAAAUCUCCCUGCUCAACGGGGAGGGUGCAUAGUAAACUGGUGAGCUAGAGUUCGGUAGGGGAGUCUGGAAUUCCUGGUAUAGCGGUGAAAUGCGCAGAUAUCAGGAGGAACACCGGUGGCGAAGGCGGGACUCUGGGCCGAUACUGACGCUGAGGAGCGAAAGCGUGGGGAGCAAACAGG
rnacentral:rRNA from 1 species